rnacentral:lncRNA from 1 species
AAAAGAAUAUAACAGACUUACCAAAUACAAUAAAGACUAGAAGGAGCAUAACAGUAGCGAAAAUCAGGAGCGCCACCUUCCUGUAGAAGAUUGCAACAGAUACAUGUUAUACAGAUUAGUUUGCUAUGCUAUGGCAUCAUAGACUAUCAUCUUGUGCAUCAUCAUAAAUUUGCUACUCUAUGGCCAUCAUUAUUUAUAUAUAACACCAAAUUAACAGAAACCAAACAUAAUGAAAACAGUCUCAAGUUUCUGCCAAAAGAGAAUGUAUAUUACCUUUGCAAAAGAAAUCCUAGAGCAGCUUUUCAAUCAGUUUUGAAAAUCACCGCCAUCAAUUAGCCUCUACAGUUAGUUGAUGAUAUCAGUAGUCCAAUCUGUUGAGAUGAAACCACAAAAUGAAUGAAAAAAAUAAAUAAUAAAAAGGAGUAAGAUUGCUACUGAGUAUGAUGCCAUAAGCAAUAUUAACCAUUAAUUAGACAUCAAUAAGCCAAAUUGAGAAUGGCUUCUUAUGAAAAGGUUGUGCACUCUUGAGGCAUGAUGCCUUGAGCAACUAAGAAAAAUUUAAAACUGUGUUAUAGAAAAGUUCAACAUACCAAAGAAGCAAGAAGCAAAAAUCAAUAAAGCUCAUACCAAUACGACCUAUGUCAAAAUUCAACAAGAAUUAUCGUAUAUACUGGCUUUGACCUUUUCACUGAGCAGUUAGUAGUAGUCAUGUUGUUGCUGUGUAAACAAAAGAGCCUGCACCAGAAAACACAAAUAUAGAUCAGUGGCUCCUAAGACCAAGAAGACCCCAACUUGCAAACCUUAAAUGAUUUUGAGACUCCACUUAGAAGUCACUGAUCUAUAUCUCAUAUAUCUGAAAUUUUAACACCAAAUCCAGAAGUAAUUAGGAUCCAGCUCUAGUCAUAAAGUAAGUACCCAAAAUAGACAAUCAUAGUAAAGCGAAAUAAUAUGUAGUAAUACCAGAACCCAAAUCAUGAACAAAGCACAAGUUGCAUAUCAUAACAGCACAUGAUUCAUAUAUAGUGAGUAACCACAUAAGAUCAAUUGAUAAAGAGAAAAGCUGAAAAAUAAAAGGCAGAGAGAAGGCUACAACGAAAAUUAAUCAAAACCAAUGGUAGAAUGAAUCAAUACAAUCUGAAUUGUAUUCAGCCAGUGUUAAUGCUCUUUCUAACAAGAUGAUCGAUGGUCCAUUCUGAAUUGUAUGCAAACAUGUUAAUAAAUCAUUUAUUUGCUAUUAAACUCAUGGUGGUCCUAACAGUAACAGAAGCCAUAUUCAAACACUUGCAUUAACAAAGACUAGGCUAAAAAGGUCAAACACAAGCCAUAUUCAAACAAGCUCACAGACAGCAGCAUAUCUUUCUCAUAAACACAAAUACAGACUUUCCGAUUAUCAGUCAAUUUAGUAACCGUAUAUCCUAAAUGUACUUAUUCAGGGAGCAAUUUUUCUGAAUCACAACCUAACCAAUUCAAUGCGAAUGCCAAACAUUUUUUAUUUCAAAUCACAACAUCUAGAAUGAGCAUACCGAAACAAAUGUUUUCCAUUAGAAACACCACAAUGCGCAUAUAUCAACCGAUAAGAGAAAGCUAAAGCCAAUUCAUUUCUCACAAACAAUCAUACAAAGGCAUUAGAAAAGCAAUAUAAACAAGCAAUCAUGCAAGAUAGACCAGAACAAAAGCAUCUAGAUCUCUCUGAACUGAUAGAACUCACCGUACGUACUUCCCGACGAUUCCUACCUUCUUUGUUCUCUUAGUCUGCAACAAAACACAAUCGCGUGUGGUGGGUUGUGACGGUACAUGAUGGCAGGUGAUGGCGGUGGCGUUGUGAGAGGCGACGACCGUAGGCUCGCGCGUCGGAUCCAACAGAGACAGAGAUCGAGUUCGUGAUGUAGAUGGAGAUAAGCAUAGCCGUAGGGGGGGGGUUUCUGACUGCGAGGUUGAAAAAAGAGAGAGAGAUCUAGAGUAUUAGGGUAAGUCUAUGUAGUUAUUUGUGAUUUCACACGGAUAUCAGUGUCUACAUUUCACACGGAUAACUGUGUAUUCCAUAUUUCACACGAACAUCAGUAAGAAAAAACCUAUUGUUACGAAAAACUGUAACUAUUUGAUCUGUAUUAGUGAAAAAAUAGAAUUUAUUUUAAUCAUCUAAUAUUUCAUUGUUACAUAUAUGUGUGAGAAUUACAUUACACACAGAUUACUGUGAGAAUAGCCAAAAAUAUCAUUUGCAUUAACACAGUAAUCCGUCCCUAAUGCUUUUUUACACGGUUUUCUGUAGCUAUUGUUGUUGCAUAAGGUAAUGUGGGACCAACAAAUUUUUUUCACACUGUUUUCUGUAUGCUUUUGUAUUUCUCGCAGAUUUAUGUGAGUAUAAAUAAUAUAUGAGAGUUAAAUAUGUGUGAAAGCUUUUUUUUCUAGUAGUGAGUGCUCCAAAGAUUUACGAAACUCUUCCUAACUUCCCUAGCCAUUUUGGAGUUAAUCGAUCAGGAAAUAAUUGAUCAACACAUGAUGACCUAAUUGAUUGAUUUUUGAUAUGUCUCUCCCUCGAGCUAAGCUAUAUGU